rnacentral:lncRNA from 1 species
AUGAGCGGACGCUGCCUACUGGUGGCCGGGCGGGAUGUAACCGGCUGCUGAGCUGGCAGUUCUGUGUCGCUAGGCUUCUGCCCGGCCGCCGCCGCACAUAAGCCACGAGGAGGAGCUUUACGACUUCCCGGUCUUCGGCGCCGGGCGCAGCAAGGGCCAGACUCUGCGCUAGCAGGCGCUGCGCGCCAACCGGCCGGCACCUGUCGCAGAAGGUGCAACCGAUCGCACUGUCGCGCAGAAGCUCCUCAAUGGCCAGCGCCAGCUGCAGCCCCGGCCGCCCACUCGCCUCAUCUGAGCCUGGAGACAGAUCUCAUUAUGUUGCCCAGGGUGAUCCUUGAUCUCCUGGCCUCAAGUGAUCCUCCAACCUUGGUCUCCCAAAGUGCUGGGAUUACAGAUGUGAACUACCACACCCAGUCAACGUGCAGAAGGUUUUCAGUUUGAUGUAGUCUGAUGUAGUCUCAUGUAUUUAUCCUUCUUGUUGUUGCCUGAGCUUUUGGUGUGAUAUCCAAAAAUAUCAUUGCCAAGAUCAAUAUCAAGAAACUUUCCCCCUAUGUUUCUUACAGAAAUUUUAUGGUUUCAGAUUUUUCAUCCAUUUUGAGUAUAUUUGUGUGUAUGAUGUAAGAUAAGGGUCCAGUCUCCCCAGUGUUGGAUAUCCAAUUUUCAUAACACCAUUUAUUGAAGAGAUUAUUCUUUCUCCACUGUGUUUUCUUGAUGUCCUUGUCAAAAAUUAGUUGACUUUUAUAUGCUUGGGUUUAUUUCUGGGCUCUAUUCUGUUUCAUUGCUUUACAUCUCUGUUUUCAUGCCAGUGCCACAGUGUUUUGAUUACUAUAGCUUUGUAAUAUAAUUUGAAAUCAGAAUGUGUAAUACCUAUAACUUUGUUUUUUGCUCUAAAGAUUUAUUUAUUUAUUUAUUUUUGCCAUUUCAGGUCUUUUGUGGUUUCAUAUGAAUUUCAGAAUUGUUUUUCCUAUUUCUGUGAAAAAUGCCAUUGACAUUUUGAUAGGGAUUGUGUUGAAUCUAUAUAUUGCUUUGGAUAGUAUGGAUGUUUUAACACUAUUAAUUGUCCCAAUCCAUGAACAUGAAAUAUCUUUCCAUUCACUUGUGUCUUCUUCAAUUUCUUUCAUCAAUGUUUUAUAGUUUUCAUUGUGCAGAUCUUUCACUUACCUGGUUAAAUUUAUUCCUACAAUUUCAUUCUUUUUGAUACUAGGGUAAAUUGAAUUAUUUUCUUGAUUUCUAUAAAUUAUUUCUUAUAAUACUCAUACUUGUCAGGCCUCUGGGCCCAAGCCUGCAUGUAUACAUCCAGAUGGCCUGAAAUAACUGAAGAAUCACAAAAGAAGUGAAAAUGGCCAGUUCCUGCCUUAACUGGUGACAUUACCUUGUGAAAUUCCUUCUCCUGGCUCAGAAGCUCCCCCGCUGAGCACCUUGUGACCCCCGUCCCUGCCCACCAGAGAACAACCCCCUUUGACUGUAAUUGUCCACUACCCACCCAAAUCCUAUAAAACAGCCCCACCCGUCUCCCUUCACUGACUCCUUUUUCAGACUCAGCCUGCCUGCACCCAGGUGAAAUAAACAGCCUUGUUGCUCACACAAAGCCUGUUGGUGGACUCUCUUCACACAGAUGCGCGAGACAAUACUAACACUAAUAUUAUUUUGAUUCGUCAGAUGGAAAAGUAAGGCUUGAAGAGGUUAGAAAUAACUUUUCCAAGGUCACAGAGCUAAUUGCCACAACUAUAACUCAGCUCUAGUAUGUGAACAAAGAUUUUUUUAUACCAAACCAAAAUUAUUUAUUUCUACUCCACUAUUCUAUCAUGGUGCAUUUUAGGUGCUAAUGGGAAAAUCUGCUCUAUGAUGGUGUCCAAUAGACAAUUAAAAUUCAAAUCUGGAAAUGAGAUCUGGACUGAAGAUUUUUUUAAAAAUUAGCCCUCAUCACAUGUAGUCAGCUGUAGAAAUCCUUAGCAUGGCUGAAAUUUUUCAUAUUAAGACAAGACUAGAACUUGGCCAGGUGUGGUGGCUCACACCUGUAAUCCCAGCACUUUGGGAGGCUGAGGUGGGUGAAUCACCUGAGGUCUGGAGUUUGAGACCAGCUGACCAACAUGGUGAAACACCAUCUCUACUAAAAAUACAAAAAAUUAGCCAGGCGUGGUUGCACAUGCCUGUAAUCCUAGCUACUUGGGAAGCUGAGGUAGGAGAAUUGCUUGAACCCAGGAGGUGGAGGUUGCAGCAAGCUGAGAUCGUGCCAUUGCACUGCAGUCUGGGCAAAAAAAGCAAAACUCUGAAGAAAGAGAGAGAGAGGGAGAGAGGGAGAGAGAAAGGAAGAGACGAUGAGAGACAGAGAGAAGGAGAGAGAAAGUACAAAAGAACGAAUGAACGAACAAACUAGAAAUCGAGCAGGAACCUUGGAGGACCUAUUGCUUAAGGUGUGGGCCAAAGAAAGUAAGUUAGGGCAAGAGACUAAGGUAUGCCAGAGACCCAGGACAAAACACAGUGCAGAGUGAUGUCACAGAGCCAAAUGGGAGUGCAAGCUAUGGCAAGCCCUCCCAAGUAUGUGUGGGUUAAAUGUAAUUAAAUUCAAAAUCUCUCAACCCAAAAAUUUUCUCCACAAAGGAAGUAGAGAAACAAAACAGUUCAUUAUUGAAUAAGCAUUAAACCAGAAUGUGAUGUGUGAAUAUAAUGGAAUGGAAUGGAAUGGAAUGGAAUGGAAUGGAAUGGAAUGGAAUGGAGUGGAGUGGAAUGGACCCGAAUGGAAUGGAACGGAACGGAAUGGAAUGGAACGCACUCGAAUGGAAUGGAACGGACAUGAAUGGAAUGGAAUGGAACGGACACGAAUGGAACGGAACGGAACGGAAUGGACUUGAGUGGGAUGGAAUGGAAUUGAAUGGACUCUAAUGGAAUGGACAUGAAUGGAAUGGAAUGGACUCAAUUGGAAUGCAGUUGAAUUGAAAGGAUCCAAAAGGAAUGCAAUGGAAUGCAUUGGAAUGGAAUGCAAUGGACUUGAAUGGGAUGGAAUGGAAUGGAAUGGACUCUAAUGGAACGGAAUGGAAUGGAACCGAAUGGAAUGGAAUGGACUUGAAUGGAAUAGAAUGGAAUGGAAUGGACUCGAAAGAAAUGAAAUGGAAUGGAUUCAAAUGGAAUGGAAUGGACACAAAUGGAACCAAAUGGAAUGGAAUGGACUCGAAUGGAAUACAAUGGAAUUUAAUGGAAUGGACUCUAAUGGAAUGGAAUGGACUAGAAUGGAAUAGAACGGAAUAGGCUCGAAUGGUAUGGAAUGCAAUGGAAUGGACUCGAAUGGAAUAGAACAGAAUAGACUAGAAUGGUAUGGAAUGCAAUGUAAUGGACUCGAAUGGAACGGAAUGGAAUGGACAAGAAUUGAAUUGAAUGGACUGGAAUGGAAUGGAAUGGACUCCAAUGGAAUG